UUGUAUGAUUUAAUUUGUGGACUUUUUCCCUUUUGUUUUUCAGGCUGAUAUGACAGUCCUCUGGAAGAGGUGGAAAAUACACAAAAACUGCUCGACUGAUUUCAGAAGAUAAACAUAAGUGAAAAUGUUGUGAUCAAGUGUCUACUUACAGAUCUGCAUGAAUUUGAACAAGUCAUUUGAGAGGCUCCUGUAAGUGGGGAAUUGGGAAAUCUCUACCAGCUGGAACUACUUAAUAGUGGAAGCUUUGCUGACCUGAGGGACACAACUUGGUAAACAGAUUUCACUGUAAUCUCAGAAUAACAAAAUCAUGGGAAAUCCUUAACUUCCAUGUACUGGGGAAAACAGAUCUGUAUUUGUGCUACAGUAAGAAGAUAGCUCAUGAUCCAGAUAUGAAGGGUGGAAAAAACUUUUCUUUGAGGUGUUGGAUGAACCCGAAGGACCUCAAGAUGAAAAUGUGUUUUUCAGGUUACAUGUAGUGCAAAGGUGGUAGCACGGCUGAGAUGAGACUGGCGCUCAGUAUGCAUAAAACAGUAGAAAAGGUGUUAAAUGAGCUGGAAAAAUUAGGAAUGAUGGAACCAGUGUGGUGACCAAAUGCUCUUCUUAUGCAUGAAUUAUCUGAACUCCUUGGUAUGGACUCUGUGUACAUAU
rnacentral:lncRNA from 1 species